AUAAAGCCAGUCUGCUUUGCAGGUUUGAAAAGCUGGACAUCACACCAAAGAGCGCACAGAAGCUAAAGCCCGUGUUGGAAAAGUGGUUGGCUGAAGCUGAGCACUGGAAUCAGAAAGGCCAGCAGAAUCUCAUGGAGUUUGUUGGCGGAGAGCCAUCCAAGAAGCGCAAGCGGCGCACCAGUUUCACGCCGCAGGCAAUCGAAGUCCUGAACUCCUACUUUGAGAAGAAUGCCCUGCCCACAGGCCAAGAG